rnacentral:siRNA from 1 species
CUAAAUUGACUUAUGUAUGUACCA